UGUAUGUAUGGGGUGAAUAGCUGAGACCUAGAAUCGAGAGCAAACAGCAAACACAGGCAAUGAGGAAAAGCAAUUUGGGUAAUUCAUAGCUCAGGAUGCUACUGUGUCUGUUGACACCAACUGCUACUUUAACACAGUUACUGUACUGUUGCUCCUCAGCAGUCCCCUCUGAUGGAUGGUUUCAAUGGUGUGCAAUCCCAAUUAGGGUUGAAUGGCUGGAACCCAGUUCCCGAGAUUUACUGCCCAAAACCACUCCCUUUUCCCAGGAUAAAUAACUGCGAGAAACCGAGAGACGCAACUCAGGCUGUGGUUGUUGAAGUGUAAUCAGACGCUGAGCAAGUCCAUGGAGAAACAGAACCUUUGAGAAAGAGAGAUGCUUUUUCGUUCAUCAAGGCCAUCCAGGAAGUGAAUGAAAGACUGCUGACCAUGAACCCUGAUGAGAUAUUCCUGUUUGAUGUGAUUCUGCUGGCCAAUGACAGCGAAGAAACACACUCAAAUAUCAUUGCCAGUGCAAAACAUUAUGGUAUGGCAUAAACUUUGAGUUACAGUAGGGGUAUGGAAGAGAAUCACAACAAGAUAUGUAAGAUGAAUCCCUAUUUUCAAGAACAGUGUUCUUACUUUAUUAUUAAGUAGUCAUUUCUAGGUAAUCCAUGUGUAGGCCUAGUUAACGUGUAAUUAUCACAAACUGGAUGUUGUAUUUCUUGUAUUCCCCAAAAGUUAUUGAUAUUAGCAGAUUUUACUUCUGCGACAAGGAGGAUUCCAUUUAGAGCCUGCAACCAAAUAACCUGAAGCUGUACUUGUCAACAGAUACCAAUGAUGUUUGCAAGGCCUUACUAAAGAAAAGUAUUGCUGUGUCACGGAAUCAGCCGAGGCUGCUCCUCCUCCUUGCUCGGGCAGGCUUCGGUGUUCGUCGUCCCCGGAGUA